CCUACCGUGGCAAUGACGGGUAACGGGGAAUUAGGGUUCGAUUCCGGAGAGGGAGCCUGAGAAACGGCUACCACAUCUAAGGAAGGCAGCAGGCGCGCAAAUUACCCAAUCCUAAUACAGGGAGGUAGUGACAAGAAAUAACAAUACAGAACCUUAAAUAGUUUUGUAAUUGGAAUGAGUUAAGUAUAAACCCCUUAACAAGUAUCAAUUGGAGGGCAAGUCUGGUGCCAGCAGCCGCGGUAAUUCCAGCUCCAAUAGCGUAUAUUAAAGUUGUUGCAGUUAAAAAGCUCGUAGUUGGAUUUCUGUUUAUUAUUUAUAUAUAAUAUUUUAUUAAUAUUUAUAUAAUAUUAACAUAAUUUAAAUUACUAUAUUUUAAGUAUAUGCA
rnacentral:rRNA from 1 species